UGGGUAACCUGCCUCAAAGAGGGGAAUAGCCUCCCGAAAGGGAGAUUAAUACCGCAUAAUAUGUUUAAGUCGCAUGACUUUAACAUCAAAGGAUUUUCUUUUAGAACUUCCACUUUGAGAUGGACCCGCGGCGCAUUAGCUAGUUGGUGAGGUAACGGCUCACCAAGGCAACGAUGCGUAGCCGACCUGAGAGGAUGAUCGGCCACAUUGGAACUGAGACACGGUCCAGACCUCUACGGGAG
rnacentral:rRNA from 1 species